rnacentral:rRNA from 1 species
UACGGGGGGAGCAAGCGUUGUUCGGAUUUACUGGGCGUAAAGGGCGCGUAGGCGGCCAGCACAAGUCGGUUGUGAAAUCUCCGGGCUUAACUCGGAAAGGUCAACCGAUACUGUGCGGCUAGAGUGCGGAAGGGGCAACUGGAAUUCUCGGUGUAGCGGUGAAAUGCGUAGAUAUCGAGAGGAACACCUGCGGCGAAGGCGGCUCACUGGACCGGUACUGACGCUGAUGCGCGAAAGCGUGGGGAGCAAACGGG